rnacentral:rRNA from 1 species
UACAGAGGGUGCAAGCGUUAAUCGGAAUUACUGGGCGUAAAGCGUGCGUAGACGGUUAUGUAAGUUAGGUGUGAAAGCCCCGGGCUCAACCUGGGAAUUGCAUUUAAGACGGCAUAGCUAGGGUGCGGAAGAGGGAAGCGGAAUUUCCGGUGUAGCGGUGAAAUGCGUAGAUAUCGGAAGGAACAUCAGUGGCGAAAGCGGCUUCCUGGUCCAGCACCGACGUUCAGGCACGAAAGCGUGGGGAGCAAACAGG